rnacentral:rRNA from 1 species
UACGAAGGGGGCUAGCGUUGCUCGGAAUCACUGGGCGUAAAGCGCACGUAGGCGGCUUUCUAAGUCAGGGGUGAAAUCCUGGAGCUCAACUCCAGAACUGCCUUUGAUACUGGAGAGCUCGAGUCCGGAAGAGGUGAGUGGAACUCCGAGUGUAGAGGUGAAAUUCGUAGAUAUUCGGAAGAACACCAGUGGCGAAGGCGGCUCACUGGUCCGGUACUGACGCUGAGGCGCGAAAGCGUGGGGAGCAAACAGGG